AGAGUUUGAUCCUGGCUCAGAACGAACGCUGGCGGCACGCCUAACACAUGCAAGUCGAGCGCCCAGCAAUGGGAGCGGCGGACGGGUGAGUAACACGUGGGAACAUGCCUUUCGGUACGGAACAACUCAGGGAAACUUGAGCUAAUGCCGUAUACGCCCUUACGGGGAAAGAUUUAUCGCCGAAAGAUUGGCCCGCGUCUGAUUAGCUUGUUGGUGAGGUAACGGCUCACCAAGGCUUCGAUCAGUAGCUGGUUUGAGAGAACGACCAGCCACACUGGGACUGAGACACGGCCCAGACUCCUACGGGAGGCAGCAGUGGGGAAUCUUGGACAAUGGGGGAAACCCUGAUCCAGCGAUGCCGCGUGAGUGAUGAAGGCCUUCGGGUUGUAAA
rnacentral:rRNA from 1 species